CACAAAAAUAGAGAUAGGGGAAGAGGUACAGGGGAAGUGAGAAAAAAAUUACACAGAGAGAAAGGGGAGGGGGCAGGGAAGUACUGAGGGGCGCAGAAGAGGGGUGACAUGGCCCCAAGGGCCUGGGACUCACCGGAGCGCUGACUCUCUGCAUUACCAGGCAAACUUUACAGUUCUGGCACUUCCUUCUCUGUCUGUGUGUCCUUUCCUGCCUUCCCCUUCUGCAGCUCCAGUCACUUGCCUGUCCUCCACCUAAGAGAACGCGUUAGUGUCUGACAGCGUGAGGCUUCCUAGAUACACAGCCACCCACUACGGGGCCGCCCUAUAUUUGCCAUUGCAUAUACAGAGCCCACGGUGCACGUUGGUGAUCUGGUCUGCCGAGGACUACGCAGAGGGAUCCCUCCUCCCCCGCAGAGCCGCAGCAGCUCCUCGCCAAAGGCAGCAAGCAUCCACCCGCCACCAGGAGAACACAGCCAGAGACAGUCCACCUGGCACACCUCAGCCAGAUGCAGUCAACGGACACCUGAGCCCUCAGUGUGGCCUCUGGGAGAGGGAAAGCAGCAGCAGCUUCGGUUCCUGCAGCCGGCCCCAGGCUGGAGCCCCUCCUGCUGCAGGAGCUCCUCCCCAGCCCUCCCCUCAGCCGGGCCGCAGCCGCAGCAGAGACUGCAGAGACCAACAUGGCCGCCCGGCAGCCCC